AGAAUCAACGCUGGCGGCGUGCCUAACACAUGCAAGUCGAACGAGAAAGUGGAGCAAUCCAUGAGUAAAGUGGCGCACGGGUGAGUAACACGUGACUAACCUACCCUUGAGUGGGGGAUAACCUAGAGAAAUCUGGGCUAAUACCGCAUAAUACCUUCGGGUCAAAGGAGCAAUUCGCUUAAGGAGGGGGUCGCGGCAGAUUAGUUAGUUGGCGGGUAAUGGCCCACAAGAGAUGAUCUGUA
rnacentral:rRNA from 1 species